rnacentral:piRNA from 1 species
UGAUUUCAGAAGCCUUUUCCUGAGAGUC